ACUCCUACGGGAGGCAGCAGUGGGGAAUUUUGCGCAAUGGGGCGAAAGCCUGACGCAGCGACGCCGCGUGGGUGACGAAGGCCUUCGGGUUGUAAAGCCCUGUCGGGGGAAAGGAAUAAGCGGUGGUAACUCCAUCGCCUUGACGGUACCCCUAACGGAAGCACUGGCUAACUCCGUGCCAGCAGCCGCGGUAAU
rnacentral:rRNA from 1 species